AGCCUUCAGUUAGUUCAUGAAUGUUAUGAUCGGGUGUUCACGCCACGUGCAUGAGAUGCACCCCCCUCAAACCUUGUUAUGACAUCGGCACAUUACCCAUCUGAAG
rfam:Cavia porcellus supercont2_135 genomic scaffold, whole genome shotgun sequence.